rnacentral:rRNA from 1 species
GACGAACGCUGGCGGCGCGCCUAACACAUGCAAGUCGAACGAGCAAAGAGGAGCUUGCUUCUCUGAGCGAGUGGCGAACGGGUGAGUAACGCGUGAGGAACCUGCCUCAAAGAGGGGGACAACAGUUGGAAACGACUGCUAAUACCGCAUAAGCCCACAGCUCGGCAUCGAGCAGAGGGAAAAGGAGCAAUCCGCUUUGAGAUGGCCUCGCGUCCGAUUAGCUGGUUGGUGAGGUAACGGCCCACCAAGGCGACGAUCGGUAGCCGGACUGAGAGGUUGAACGGCCACAUUGGGACUGAGACACGGCCCAGACUCCUACGGGAGGCAGCAGUGGGGAAUAUUGCACAAUGGGGGAAACCCUGAUGCAGCGACGCCGCGUGGAGGAAGAAGGUCUUCGGAUUGUAAACUCCUGUUGUUGAGGAAGAUAAGGACGGUACUCAACAAGGAAGUGACGGCUAACUACGUGCCAGCAGCCGCGGUAAAACGUAGGUCACAAGCGUUGUCCGGAAUUACUGGGUGUAAAGGGAGCGCAGGCGGGAAGGCAAGUUGGAAGUGAAAUCCAUGGGCUCAACCCAUGAACUGCUUUCAAAACUGUUUUUCUUGAGUAGUGCAGAGGUAGGCG